rnacentral:lncRNA from 1 species
AGAACAUCUUUUUUUUCUUUCUUCUCUUCAAGGCAAAUAAUUCCAAGCUAGUCUUUGAUUCACAUACUGAUGGACAAAUGUGUUAAAACUGCUGGAAGCAAAUGCUGCAAGAGAUGAUCUCAUGCUCACUGAGUAAUGCCAAACAAGACCUGUGUAUGGAGCAGCUCAAGAGAAGGUGGAGAGGUAACAAUAAACUGUCUGAACACUCCCUG